UCUACGUCAUGUGAAUGACAGUUGCUGAGAUUCUGUGGACAACUGUGGGUCCUAACUGACAUUCCUUCUUUCUUCCUCCAGUUACUUAGACAGUUUAGAUCGGAUUGGUGCUGCAGACUACCAGCCCACAGAGCAGGACAUUCUGCGAACUCGAGUGAAGACCACCGGGAUUGUAGAAACCCACUUCACCUUCAAGAACCUGCACUUCAGGCUGUUUGAUGUGGGAGGUCAGAGGUCGGAGAGGAAGAAAUGGAUCCACUGCUUUGAGGACGUGACCGCUAUUAUCUUCUGUGUGGCUCUGAGUGGAUACGACCAGGUGCUCCAUGAAGACGAGACCACGGUCCAAACACCUACGACGAUGCAGCUGCUUACAUCCAAGCACAAUUUGAAAGCAAGAACCGCUCACCUAAUAAGGAGAUCUACUGUCACUUGACCUGUGCCACGGAUACAGGAAACAUCCAGGUGGUGUUCGAUGCUGUGACCGACAUCAUCAUCGCCAACAACCUGCGAGGCUGCGGCUUGUACUGAGGCCCGCCCCCUCCCUCUCGAGCCACUUCUUUGGAAAUGAUUAUUAUUGAAAAUGCAAGUUGGUAAAUAAUGAUAAUGAUAAUUUUAAAAUAGGCAUAUACAAAUAUAUAAAUAUAUUAUAUAUAUAUGAAAUGUUUUUAGUUUGUCUUUCAAAGAGCUGCCAACAGAACUGAUUUCUUAUAGAAACCCAGCCUUUAUGGUUUUAGAACAAAGUUGGGACCUUUUUUUGUGUUGUUUUUGUUUUUCUUUGCUGUUGUAUGUUUUGUUCUCCCCUGUUUUCCACUGUGUCUUUAUCAUUGAAACUAAACAACCCUCAUUUUUUUUUUUUAUGUUUUAUGUCAUUGUAUGUAUAUUUAUUACACAAAUAUCAGUCAGGGGGAUGACCUGUACAUGUUUGCCUGGCUAUACGAAUUUUACUUUGACGAUAAUGUGACGAUAGCUAAAUCCACGGUUAUGCUAGUCUGGAGCACUAUAGUUCAAGUCAGUUGUGGCGUGUCCUUGUUUCGGAUUUUUAAUCACUGUAGUACCGUUCCAUAUCAUAAAGAAUGGAAUAACCCAGGCUUUUCUUACGUUUCGUUUCUACCCAUCCCCGUCACUUCCGUAGCUCAGCUCUCUGGGGAAGGGCCUGGGCCGCUUGGCAUGUGACCCCAGGUCUGUCGAACCAGUACUAUGAUUGCAAGUGUCAUAUCAGUGCCAACCUUCUGAGAUUGACGUGUCUGGGAACAGUACUAGAAACACUAGGUCACUGUUAUGAGAACUUAUUAACAUUUGUCUUGUGAGGAACUAUUACUUUUGUAUUGUUGUUGAUUAAUUUAUUAAUUUAUUUAUUGAUCAUCUGUCCCACGCACUUCCUUUGUACUUACUCCACUUCGUCCAUUCUUCUACCUCUCGUCCGUUGUCACCCUUCCCUCUUCAUCCCUUCUUUUCCCCAGGUUUCUGUUUUAGUUGGCUGGGUAAUGGAGUCCCCGUCACUGAUAGCAUGACCCCCUCAGCCUUUGUAUAAAGAAACAGCUACUUGCUUCACAUAGCUAAUGGUGCGAAAAGAAAGAAUAAAACACAAAAUAAAAAGAACAAAAAAAGAGGAAAAAAGAAAACGGAAAAGACAGACACAGCAAAAAAGAAUGGGCAUCAUGUGGG
ensembl:lncRNA